AUCAAGCUCCUGCUCCCAUGUGUUCUGCUAAUUUUGCUGGUACUAUGCUGUCUGAGAGUCUUGUUUCUGAUUCCAAGUUGUGCAUGCUUACAAACAUUAAUUCUGUUACCUGGAUUGAUAUUCAGCAAAGGAUCGGUAAGAAUCCAUCUAAUUCGGAGUGCAGCCAAGUCUGUGAGUCAUCAUAUCAGAGUUUUGCUAUAGACUUAUGGGUAGGCUGAUACUCUAUCCAAUUUGAUGUCACGAUAUCUUAGAGGAUUUGUAGUCAGAGUUUUUUUUUACAGUAUGUCAGAGGCCUUGACGACCCAUAUGUAUUUUUGAUUUAAGAAAAACAGUUCACUGAUACAAUGUUGCCCACAUAUAGUUAUACAUUAUGAGUUGUGCCCAUCUCGGCCCAUGAUAGUUACAAAAGGAAUGAAUGAAUUGCAGAGUGGUUUUCCUAGGCCAGUGCGGCACCGGGUGCCAGCCACACCUCCUAAGGUUGGGGCAUGACAAAAUGGUAUCAGAACAGUCUUGUCAUAGGGAGUUUACAAACCCGUGCAUAGUAGAGUAUCACUUAUGGGUGUGUUGUGUGCCACAUUUAUAAUUGAAAGGCUAUAACGCAUUAGAAAAUGUUACCCUUCUUUUGUUUCGA
rnacentral:lncRNA from 1 species